rnacentral:rRNA from 1 species
UACGUAGGGGUGCGAGCGUUGUCCGGAAUUAUUGGGCGUAAAGGGCUCGUGAGGUCGGUUUGUCGGCGUCGGGAAGUGAAAUCCGACUUGGCUUAACUGGUGGCUUUGCUUUCGAUACGGGCAGACUGGAGGUAUGCAGGGGGAGAACGGAAUUCCUGGUGUAGCGGUGAAAUGCGCAGAUAUCAGGAGGAACACCGAUGGCGAAGGCAGGUCACUGGGCCGCAACUGACGCUGAGGAGCGAAAGCAUGGGGAGCGAACAGG